UACGGAGGAUCCAAAGCGUUUGAUUACCGGGAUUUAUUGGGUUUAAAGGGUUGCGUAGGCGGUUUAUUAAUGUCAGGGGUGAAAGACGGCAGCUUAACUGUCGCAGGUGCCUUUGAUACUGAUGAACUUGAAUGUACUAGAAGUAGGCGGAAUGUGACAAGUAGCGGUGAAAUGCAUAGAUAUGUCACAGAACACCGAUUGACGAAGGACAGCUUACUAUGGUAUUAUUGACGCUAGAGGCGACGAAAAGCGUUGGGGAAGUCAAACAGG
rnacentral:rRNA from 1 species